UACGUAUGUCCCGAGCGUUAUCCGGAUUUAUUGGGCGUAAAGCGAGCGCAGACGGUUGAUUAAGUCUGAUGUGAAAGCCCGGAGCUCAACUCCGGAAUGGCAUUGGAAACUGGUUAACUUGAGUGCAGUAGAGGUAAGUGGAACUCCAUGUGUAGCGGUGGAAUGCGUAGAUAUAUGGAAGAACACCAGUGGCGAAGGCGGCUUACUGGACUGUAACUGACGUUGAGGCUCGAAAGUGUGGGUAGCAAACAGGAUUAGAAACCCCAGUAGU
rnacentral:rRNA from 1 species